AGCUAUCUCAGUCAAACCGGAACUUGCCUCAAGACGCAUCGUGCUCCCUCCUUCUCCGUCGCGCCGGAGUCACCUCUGGCGGCGGCGGGGUGAUAUCAUCACCUUCUUCAUACCAUUAAAACCAGCUCUUCGUCCUCAACCUUAAUCUGGUUUCAAUUUCUACUAAUUUCCAACCAAAUCUUUAAAUCACCGCUCACACUUAAAGAACCCUAACUCACUCAGCCUAAAAUUAAAUGACGAAACUCCUAAAUUCAAUCUCAAAACUUAGGGUAAAUGAUCCUCCAAUUGAACCCUACGCAAUGGUAACCAAAUCAAGGUGAGAGGUGAAGGCAAAAAAACCUCUGAGGCGGAGCUCCGACGAAGGAUUGAAACGAGGACGACGAUUGCGACACGAUGACUCCUGCAAUCUAGUAUAUUCUUCUUCUUCCCUUCUAUUCCCUUCUUCUCAUAUUCGACACAUUUCUUCUUCCCGACAAAUUACAGAGAGGUGAGGGAGAGAGUCGAAUCCAUGAAGUGAGAGUGAUGAACUCUGGAUUUCGAGAGAAAAUUGCAAGGUUCGGUGAUGGAUGAUGAAUUUCGAGUUUGUGCAGAAACCGUGAUUUUUCGCGCAAAGCUUCGAUCUGUGAAUGAAGAGUUUCUGAUUAUGAUUGGGAGUGCAAAGUGAGAUUCUGAGAGAGAACUGAAUUGGGAGGGUGAAGAAUGUGAUUUGAGAAAAAGAAGAAUCAAUGGAGAGCUCAAUGAUGCAGUGAUGCUCUUAUACACAAUCCCCAUUUUGAAUUCGGUUACAUUCGAAAUCCCUUAAUGAUUAGUAAAUUUGUUCUAUCAAUGAGAUGGAUUUGGCCUUGCACCUACUGCAAUUGCCUUGUUUGUCGUUAAUCUGUUCUGUUGGAUGGUGUUGACUCUGAAGGUUGAGAUUUGGUGCACCUUGGUGGAUGGAUUGAUGUGGUUCAUAGUUCUGCAGCAGGAAUUCUAAAUUGUCUCAUGGCUUUUUGGUUGUAGGGACAACACUUUAUGCAUGGAGUGUUUCUUGGCUAUGUGGUGAAUUUGAAAGUCAUGGUGGUGCAAGAAUAACUUGGCUCAUCAAAAGGUCAUGGUUUCAAGGCAAGAAGGCAUGGAAGCAUUGAGAACUUGGUUCUUGUUUAAAAAUGCAUGAAGAUGUAAAUAGGAAGUAGAUUUGUUAUGUAGAUUUGUUAUGUAUACUUAGAAUGUAUUUUGAACUUGAAUUGGAAUGUAUUGAUUGGAUGUAAUGGAUAUUGGUGGACCUUGACCUUAUUAUGGAAAGACUUUGAAUGCAUUUGAAUGGAUUUUGUAAUUUUUGGGAA